GAUGAACGCUGGCGGCGUGCCUAAUACAUGCAAGUCGAGCGAACGGACGAGAAGCUUGCUUUUCUGAUGUUAGCGGCGGACGGGUGAGUAACACGUGGAUAACCUACCUAUAAGACUGGGAUAACUUCGGGAAACCGGAGCUAAUACCGUAUAAUAUUUUGAACCGCAUGGUUCAAAAGUGAAAGACGGUCUUGCUGUCACUUAUAGAUGGAUCCGCGCUGCAUUAGCUAGUUGGUAAGGUAACGGCUUACCAAGGCAACGAUGCAUAGCCGACCUGAGAGGGUGAUCGGCCACACUGGAACUGAGACACGGUCCAGACUCCUACGGGAGGCAGCAGUCGGGAAUCUUCCGCAAUGGGCGAAAGCCUGACGGAGCAACGCCGCGUGAGUGAUGAAGGUCUUCGGAUCGUAAAACUCUGUUAUUAGGGAAGAACAUAUGUGUAAGUAACUGUGCACAUCUUGACGGUACCUACUCAGAAAGCCACGGCUAACUACGUG
rnacentral:rRNA from 1 species